rnacentral:misc_RNA from 1 species
UCGAUGAGACUGGACGUAUCGCUCUUAGGCGAUCGUAUUAUUCGGUCAAUUUGAACAUUUAUUUCUUGACACCUGAACGUCAGUGAAUUAACAUUUCGCAAUAGACGACUAUUUAUUUAUUUUUUAUCCUCAACGCGGAUAUUAUUAUUUAUUUAAUUUUAGUACUUUGGUAAAAUUGAGUAAAUUUUUCGUCAUCUCGUUAGCAAUUUUUUAUUCCGGCUCAACGGCUCCUCUCGACUCGGUGAUCGAACCGUGCCGAGCGGAAAUAGUGCGAAAAAGUAAUUGCAGCAAAUAUCGAGGCGAAGCGAAAUGGCGAAUUGAUGAAAAAUCAAUAUUCAAAGAAAGUGAGAUCGGCACGAUAGAAUUUUUGCGCAACAUCAUGAAGGGCUCAUCGAACGACAAUGGAAAGAUCUCCGAUUCCGGUAACACCAACUCGUGCGUCAGUCAAUCGCAGAGGAGUAGCGGCAGCUCGUUGUCGCGGAGAAACACGAAUCAGUCCGAGAGCAGCGGUUACUGUGGUGGACACCCUUUGACGUGUGACUCGAGUAAUUACGCCUUACCGCAACCGAUCAGCAGGCACAACCAGAAAGAGCAUAAAAAGAAGAAAUCAAAAACAUCAACGACGAAGAACAUCGGUAACGUCGGUACUGAAUUCAGAUCGCAGAUUAAUUCUGAAAAACAAAACGACGUGGGAACAUACGAUUCGUACGGCACUUCUUCCGAUUUUGCUACUAAUAGUAAAAAAGCAGAAGAAAUAGCCGAUGUAGAGUUGGCCGACGACACAGGACUAGGGGAUCACAACGGCGACUCUAACUCUACAGAACUCGAGAGGGGAAUUGGUACGAUUACCAAUCCUCUGGAAGAUUCGACAUCUAAUAUCAAUGCGACAUUCAGCGUGGUUAUAUCGAUGAAAAAAGGCCUCGUCGUCGAUGUUACACCUUCCUUAAGUACGAUACUCGGCCACACGAGAGAAUCGUGGAUCAAUCGUUCCUUCAUCGAAUUUGUACAUCCGAAAGACAAACAAGCGUUUGCCGAUCAUCUUGCCAAGAACAUCAGUCUUCCUUACGAAGAUCAUGACAAGGGUCUUGAUGGACAUCGGACAAGUAUAUUUUGCAGUCUACAAAAAAACAAAGAGCGAAGGUCAACAGUUGGAAGUGCAAGCGACGAAAGCAGUUACCAUGCAACAACGUCCAAUCCGUACCUUCCCUUUCAUCUGAUAACGAGUACCAAAGCUUUUCGCGAUCCUGCUAGUGAGGAGAAACUUCAAAUGUUUUUUCUCAUUGUCAACGCCGAGCCAAUUAUGCCCAUCUACCAAGCCCCCGAAGAGAUGAUAAUAUCGACGAUAUUUUCAACUCGGCACGAUUCCAACUGCAUCCUGAUAAACGUCGAAGUCGACGUGGUGCAAUACUUUGGUUAUAUGCCACACGAAAUGAUAGGUCGUUCGGUGUUCGACUUUUAUCAUCCUGAUGAUCUGCCGUACCUCAAAGAAGUCUACGAGACCGUUGUUAAAAUGGACGGAUUGCCAUUUCGCUCAAAACCAUACAGAUUCGCAACACAAAACAGCGAUUACGUUGUAUUGGAGACCGAGUGGUCGGCAUUUUUCAAUCCCUGGAGUGAAAAACUAGAAUUUGUCGUAGGUCAUCACAGAGUACUCCGUGGACCAAAGAAUCCGAACGUUUUUCAAGCUGCGCCGGAUCCUCGAAAAAUCAGCUCGCUGGAAAAUAUAAGCGAAGAAAUAUUCAAAGAAUCGAAGAUCAUACAGAGCGAAAUACAAGCUGUUCUCAAUGAGAAAAUCGAAAGAAUGGAAGACGACGGAGCCUACGAGAUUACUUCUAGUUCUAAAAAUCUUGACACGUUCGUGGAGAACCUGCUGCGGGAGGUCAAGCCUCCGGCGCCAGUCUCCAAGGAGCAUUUCGCAACUGACCACAAGAGCUUUUUGGGAUCACGAAAUCCCUUGUUGCAGGAACACGACAGCGCCAUACUGGGCGCAAUAUCACCUCAUGAUAGGUACUGCGAUAGCAAAUCGUCAACCGAGACUCCACCGAGUUACGGUCAGCUCAAUUACAAUGAGAAAAUAACGAGAUAUUUCGAUAGCAAACUUCUCGUUAGCGCCACUUAUGGGGAUGGAGAUAACACGAAUCUGAGUGUGCCGAGCAACAAGGAAGUCAGAAAAUCGAGCUCGAACUUGACUGGCACGAAAAACACGACACUGAGCGGUGAGAAUUUGAGCAGCGGCUCGAAUAAUCGUACUAGUUACGACAGCCCCGAUGACGUUGACAAACCACGCAGCGUCAAUCCAAUGCCUACGGGAGAUUUGGAAAUACCGACACUCACCGAAUCGAUGUUGAAUAAGCAUAACCGGGAAAUGGAGAAACUCCUGAUCCAGCAACACAAAGAGUGGCGACGUAAUUUAAAGUAUAGAAAAGAGGACAAAGAUUCAAAGAAUAAUGGUACGGAGGAUAACCAAACCAGGCCAAGUAACAAGCGGAGUAAACACCAAACGAAAACGUGCAGUACCAAAAAACGCAGAAUCGAUGAUCACGAGGGGGAACAAUGCAAGAUUCCAAAAUGCGAUGAGGAUGCCAAAACGGGUACCGUAGCUCCUGUACUCGCUGCGACGAAUGCAUCAGUGCACGCGGGUGACAAAGUCGCACCAGAAACCGCAGCGACUCAAGACUCCAAUGUUUGGCCACCGGCUACGGGGGCCGCAUCACCACAACUGUCUCAUCCCCAUUUUUACGUGGCAGCUUCAAACAAUGAACCGCGCAUGGAAUCCAGAGGCCCAGAAUUUUCGUCUUUAGUUCCAUUGUUUUAUGUUCCCUUACCACGAACUGUUCCGUCGACCACUAAUAGUCAACCUCAGCAGGUUACUUACGUUUCUUACGCCACAGCACCAUUGGCAGGUGUAAUUUAUCCACCGGUGGUCUGUGCACCAGCACCGGUAACGACGAUGUACCGGCCGUUUUUGAUACCGGGAUCGGUGCCAAUUAAUCGAGAAAUACAGCAAACUAAUUCGGCGAAUGCCCAAGAAGAAAAUUCGUCGAAAAGCAUUAAGCGACCGGCGUCGCACGCCACGAGUAUCAAAGGCGAGGUCGGUAGUACAAUGGCAUUGUCCGAAUCUUCGAAAAAACAACUCUUUUUGGGCGAUCAAUUCUCAUCUUGCAUCAGCAUCGAUGGUCUUUGCUCGAGUCUUGUGCCUAACACGAAACCGGAAACCAGCACGAACAGUCAAUUUAACUCGAGCCUCGAGGAUUCUAGUGAUUCAAGUUUUUACAGUAGCUUCUUGACGAAAAGUAACCAGAGUAGUUACGACCGAAGUGAAAAUAUUGUCCCUCACCAUCCACAGAAAAUUCGAAUUCGAAAACAACAGCUUAAUCUGCCGAGCAGAGGUCCGCCAUGGCAAGAGGACGUGAUGAUGACCGAUCAAUUGAUAUAUCGAUACCAAUUAACGCCAAAGCCAUUGAACGAAGUGCUCGAAGCCGAUAUGAAGAUCCUUCGAAAUUUGGAUCAACCGUCGAUGGUGACCGACCAACUGGCACAAAUGUACUCCGACAUGGAGCUGAGCAAAGUUGAUUUUUCUGCGAAACUUAUACCUUGCGAACACGACACGCCAGUGGGCAGUGAGGGCGGCAGCAGCGGCGAGAAACAACGUAACGUAGCACUCGAGCCGAAUAGCAUAAGGAGUGGCAUUAACAACGCAAUGGUGAUGACCGUCUAUGAAAAGAAUGCGCAGCCAACAUCAACCGGGGAGACUUGAAGCGUUCGAUACGUGCAUAGCGCUCGCGGUCGUCAUUUUAUCGUCGUACAAAUGCACUAUGAAAAAUGUUAAAUGUGGCAGUCUGACGAUUUAUACAUCGAUUGAAAACCGGAGAAGAUGCAGAACUAGAAGGGAACGACGUGGAGCACUCGGCGUCCGGUCUACUGAACUGAUAACGUCAGCGCCGAAAAAUAACGAAACAACAAAAACAGCGAAUGCGAUAUUCCGAUGUAUAUUUCUCAGCGAGCUGAUCGAACAAAAGAGGUCAAAAAAAGGAAAUGAAAGGCCUGGAAUCUUGUGGCGAAAGGAAUAAUAUUCGGUCAAAUAUUUUCAUCAUUUUUUUGACGGCUGCGACGCACAAGGGAAAUGAUUAAUCGUCCGGUACGUUUAGUUAUUUUCUUCGAGACAAAUGACUCCGGAAAUUCUUAAGUUAUUGGACGAAUGGGAAAGGAGGUCGAAAGUCUAUUAUUACGAUCGGGAGAUGAUUCUUCACCAAAUGUGUAAUUUCAGUGUUUCAUUUGUGCUUAUCGAUUUUUUUUUCGUCGAGUUAACAUGCAACUUCGGGGCCGGGUUAAAGUUCCGAACGGUGAGAAAUCAGAAGGCUCAAAAGUUCGAAAAUCUCGCUAGUGCGAUAUAUCUAUAUAUUUCGAAUCCCAGCUAGAUUUUGGGACUUUU